rnacentral:rRNA from 1 species
CCUACGGGUGGCAGCAGUGAGGAAUAUUGGUCAAUGGCCGAGAGGCUGAACCAGCCAAGUCGCGUGAGGGAAGACGGCCCUACGGGUUGUAAACCUCUUUUGUCGGGGAGCAAAGCGAACCACGUGUGGUUCAUUGAGAGUACCCGAAGAAAAAGCAUCGGCUAACUCCGUGCCAGCAGCCGCGGUAAUACGGAGGAUGCGAGCGUUAUCCGGAUUUAUUGGGUUUAAAGGGUGCGCAGGCGGAGGUGCAAGUCAGCGGUCAAAUUGCGGUGCUCAACACCGGCCUGCCGUUGAAACUGGUCUUCUUGAGUGAGCGAGAAGUAUGCGGAAUGCGUGGUGUAGCGGUGAAAUGCAUAGAUAUCACGCAGAACUCCGAUUGCGAAGGCAGCAUACCGGCGCUCAACUGACGCUGAGGCACGAAAGCGUGGGGAUCGAACAGGAUUAGAUACCCUUGUAGUC